rnacentral:pre_miRNA from 1 species
AUCAGCUGGUGAUCUUGUUAAAAUGCAGAUUCUGAUUCAGUAGCGCUGGAAUAAAAAGGCCUGAGAUUCUGUAUUUUAAACAAGUCCCCAGGUGAUUCUGG